GUGAAGAUUCCCACAUAUUUUUCUCACAUGCAUAAGUUGUCAAAGUAGGCCAUAUAAAGAUUUACCAAGUGACUAGUACCAUAUCUAAAUCAAAACAAUUUUUUUGUUUUUUUACGGUAUUGUCAUUCAUAUCAGCUGUAUGUAAUUUUCAUUCUCAACUCACCGGACAUCCUUUAUAAUCUGCCCUUAAAAAGCUCCAGACUAUGUUGAAAAGGUG